rnacentral:lncRNA from 1 species
GGUACAGCGCUGGCUACUGGUGGUACAGCGCUGGCUACUGGUGGUACAGCGCUGGCUACUGGUGGUACAGCGCUGGCUACUGGUGGUACAGCGCUGGCUACUGGUGGUGUAGCGCUGGCUACUGGUGGUACAGGGCUGGCUACUGGUGGUACAGGGCUGGCUACUGGUGGUACAGGGCUGGCUACUGGUGGUACAGGGCUGGCUACUGGUGGUACAGGGCUGGCUACUGGUGGUGUAGCGCUGGCUACUGGUGGUGCAGCGCUGGCUACUGGUGGUUAAGGACUGGGUACUGGUGUGGGUAACAGAAUCUAUAAAGCAUUCGAUGUUGCGAUCUGGCAGCGAGGCGAACCCAAACUCCAAGUUGUCUGUAAAAGCUUGACCACGUGGCUGAGUUCAUGAACUCAUGCACAUUCUAAGAGUAAAGAAUAACUUAUCAAAGCGAAUGUUAUCUUUUGUCUAUGAAAUGACUUGGGGUCAUUGAAGAUGCCUAGACAACUCCAAUGUUUUGUGCAAAACCAACGACAGUAUGAUUACCAUUGACACACAGGUUAACAUCCUACUGUUUAGCUCCAAGACAUUUUGUUCAGGUUCAGAGGCAUAUUUUCCAUUAUUUUAAACAUGAUGUGUGUAUGAUAUUGUGCUGGUGUAGCCUCUAUGGUUUGGGGUAGUAUAUGGUGUAGUCUAAUAUAGGGUGUAGUCUAUGGGUUGGGGUAGGAUAGGGAGUAGUCUAUGGUUUGGGGUAGGAUAUAUGGUGUAGUCUAUGGGUUAGGGUAGUAUAGGGUGUAGUCUAUGGGUUAGGGUAGUAUAGGGUGUAGUCUAUGGGUUGGCGGUAGGAUAGGGUGUAGUCUAUGGGUUAGGGUAGAAUAAGGUGUAGUCUAUGGUUUGGGGUAGGAUAUAUGGUGUAGUCUAUGCGUUAGGGUAGUAUAGGGUGUAGUCUAUGGUUUGGGGUAGGAUAUAUGGUGUAGUCUCUAUGGUUUUGGGUAGGAUAGGGUGUAGUCUGUGGGUUAGGGUAGGCUAGGGUGUAGUCUCUAUGGGUUAGGGUAGGCUAGGGUGUAGUCUGUAUGGGUUAGGGUAGGCUAGGGUGUAGUCUGUGGGUUAGGGUAGGCCAGGGUGUAGUCUCUAUGGGUUAGGGUAGGAUAGGGUGUAGUCUAUGGGUUAGGGUGGUAUAGGGUGUAGUCUAUGGGUUAGGGUGGUAUAGGGUGUAGUCUCUAUGGGUUAGGGUAGGAUAGGGUGUAGUCUGUAUGGGUUAGCGUAGGAUAGGGUGUAGUCUGUAUGGGUUAGGGUAGGCUGGGGUGUAGUUUAUGGAUUAGGGUAGGAUAUUUUAAGAAUGUUAAUAGACUGUAGAAAAUAUUUGAAAAAUUGAAAAUGAAGUCUUCAAAAUGUCCUUUAAUUAAUCAAAUUAAUCAUUUGUUUUCAGUUGAUACAUCUUGAUGCCUCUGUCAUGGUUGAAAAUGUAAAUAAUGAAAUAGGGGUUUGGUUCACUUAUGAGGAUUAAAACUAAUACCAGUAUUGAUGAGGAAAGAAGAGUCACUGACCUCGAACCCAUCUGAUAAAAAUAUCACACUGAUUGUUGUUGGUCCUUCCCUCAAGUGCUUUGUUUGUAUAUACCGUAUCCCUUGUGUGCCACAACCUGAGCUAUUCUAAUUUAUUGUUUGUCUUUUGUUACUUUUUUGUACUCUAGUUUCUUUCAGAUUGAUUGGUAUGUUCAGCCCCCCCAAAAAAUUCACCAUAUGAUAAAUAAUUGUGGUAAUAUUUAUUCACCAUUAUUAGAAAUGUACUGGACUUGGG